rnacentral:rRNA from 1 species
CCUACGGGUGGCAGCAGUGAGGGAUAUUGGUCAAUGGGGGAAACCCUGAACCAGCAACGCCGCGUGAGGGAUGACGGAUUUCGGAUUGUAAACCUCUGUCCGCAGUGAAGAAAAUGACGGCAGCAGAGCAGGAAGCUCUGGCUAACUACGUGCCAGCAGCCGCGUUAAUACGAAGGGAGCAAGCGUUGUCCGGAUUUACUGGGUGUUAAGGGGGAGUAGACGGUUUUGCAAGUCAGUAGUGAAAUCCAUGGGCUUAACCCAUGAACUGCUUUUGAAACUGGAGAGCUUGAGUGCAGUAGAGGUAGGCGGAAUUCCCGGUGUAGCGGUGAAAUGCGUAGAGAUCAGGAGGAACACCGGUGGCGAAGGCGGCCUGCUGGACUGUAACUGACGCUGAGGCUCGAAAGCGUGGGUAGCAAACAGGAUUAGAUACCCCAGUAGUC